CCAGACAGCCAGGAGGUUGGCUUAGAAGCAGCCAUCCUUGAAAGAGUGCGUAAUAGCUCACUGGUCGAGUGAUUCUGCGCCGAUAAUGUAGCGGGGCUCAAGUACACCGCCGAAGUCGUGUCGCCACCCGCAAGGGUGGUGGGUAGGGGAGCGUCGUGUGCUGGGUGAAGCGGCCCUGGAAGGGUGUCGUGGACGGUUCACGAGUGAGAAUGCAGGCAUGAGUAGCGUGAUGCACGUGGGAAACGUGUGCGCCGAUUGACUA
rnacentral:rRNA from 1 species